rnacentral:rRNA from 1 species
CCCUUAGAUGUUCUGGGCCGCACGCGCGCUACACUGAUGCAUUCAACGAGCCUAUCCUUGACCGACAGGUCCGGGUAAUCUUUGAAUCUGCAUCGUGACGGGGAUAGAUUAUUGCAAUUAUUAAUCUUCAACGAGGAAUGCCUAGUAGGCGCAAGUCAUCAGCUUGCGUCGAUUACGUCCCUGCCCUUUGUACACACCGCCCGUCGCGCCUACCGAUUGGGUGUGCUGGUGAAAUGUUCGGAUCGGCCGUUUGUCGCGGUUUCCGCGGCUCGUGGCUGAGAAGUUCAUUAAACCCUCCCACCUAGAGGAAGGAGAAGUCGUAACA